rnacentral:rRNA from 1 species
CCUACGGGUGGCAGCAGUGAGGAAUAUUGGUCAAUGGACGAAAGUCUGAACCAGCCAAGUAGCGUGAAGGAUGACUGCCCUAUGGGUUGUAAACUUCUUUUAUAUGGGAAUAAAAUGUUCCACGUGUGGGAUUUUGUAUGUACCAUAUGAAUAAGGAUCGGCUAACUCCGUGCCAGCAGCCGCGGUAAUACGGAGGAUCCGAGCGUUAUCCGGAUUUAUUGGGUUUAAAGGGAGCAUAGGUGGAUUGUUAAGUCAGUUGUGAAAGUUUGCGGCGCAACCGUAAAAUUGCAGUUGAAACUGGCAGUCUUGAGUACAGUAGAGGUGAGCGGAAUUCGUGGUGUAGCGGUGAAAUGCUUAGAUAUCACGAAGAACACCGAUUGCGAAGGCAGUUCACUGGACUGCAACUGACACUGAGGCUCGAAAGUGUGGGUAUCAAACAGGAUUAGAUACCCGAGUAGUC